GCUGAUUUGCUUAUUGUAUGUCUCUGCAUUCUCGUUAAUCUCUCCAAUUCUGCAAUUUGUAUUGGUUUUCUAGUUAUUAGAGUGAAUUCAUGAGAACAUGUUUUAUUAUUAGUGCUGUCUCCUAGCAGUACCUAACCCUUUGGAAUAUGCAGAAAAUGUGACAAAUCUCUUGGCCCUGAAAUCUUUGCAGGCUGAAUACAAACGGCUGUACUCCAACAAACAGACAGGAAAAGAGUGCUGAUGUUUUAACUGGAGGAUCUCAAGAACUUUUUCUGCUGAUUGGAGUGAUCCAGUCCUUUCAGACUCAUCUCAAAAAGCCGUAUCUUGCAAAGUUUCCCCCAUCUGUUACCUCCAUGUUCCCAGGACAACUGAGACGGGGUAACUGAUGAGGAAAAUGAAUCUAGUUCUUACAGUUUUUGGAGGCUGAAGCUCAAGGUUAAGAGUUUACAUCUGAUGAAUGCUGCCCUCUGCAGAGUCCUAAGAUAAAUAACACCAACGGAAUCAUUUUAUACACAUUGCCUGCAACAGAGUGGGUCUUGAGAGUGGAGUCAAUGCUGAGCACUUUAUUUAGAUUGCAAAUUAUCUAGCUGCCUCAGCAGACUGCGAAAUCAACUGGAAGCUUUUCAGCAUUUAAUUAAGCAGGACAAAGAAAGUCCCAAUAAUAACAGUGUGAAACUGCCAGGGAAAAAAAUUAUGAAUACAAAGGAAGAAAUCAUCAGUAAUUAACCCCAAUCUGAGACUGCAGAGGAGCCUCCAAAACAAGAGGGGAGCACAUGCAAAUAAUACUAAAUUUGCUUGUCUUGAAUGAUUUCAUUGUGUUUUAAUUUAAUAUAAAUUUACGAGAACAGCCACCCAAUUGCUAAGGGAAAAAAAUCAUUCCCUGUAGAAAUUCCCCAAACCUUACUAGGGCAGGUGAGUUUUGCACAAGUGUGAGCUUUUCCUCUGGUGCAUUUAUUGAAUUUUUACAAUAUUACUUUAUAGUCCCCUAUUGAGAUAUUGUGAGUAAAACAAAACAAAACAAAAAAGAAUGGAUAUGGUGGCUGGGAUUGGAGAAGGGAGGAAAUUCUGCCCAAGAAAAUAUACAAAGUGAGAUUCAUUGACAGGCUGGAAUCUAUCUUUCCCCACCUCUUGGCAACAUGGAAAGCUUAUAUUUAAAGAAAUUUCCUCAUAUGUACUUCUUUAAUGAUACAUUCCCUGGCCACCGUUGUUUAUCCACUCUUAGCAUUUUAAAUUAUCUUAAUUAAUUAGAAUAGCUCACUUUGCCUUAUGAUUAUUUAUUCUAUGUCAUGAGUCAAAUCUCAGCUUUUUUGAAGAAUGGUCUGCAUCUUAUAUUAUUCAUCCUUAUAUUUCAAGAACUAGGACCGUGUCUAAUCAUUUAAUGUAUUUUUGAAUAAAGUUUUUUUUUAA